AUCACUUCCAGGCCCUUCCAUCCUCUCUCUCUCUCUCUCUCUCUCUCUCUCUAAACUCCCUUCACUUCACUUUACUUCCAUAUCAACCAACCGUGAGAGAUUGAUCAUCAACCUCUAGCUCCCUAAAUCAAAAACCCCCAUUUUUUUUUUUUCCUCUCUCUCUCUCUCUCUCUCAAGCAAUCCUCUUCUCCAACAACCCACAAAAAUCAAAAACCCAUCUCCCAAAACAAUUGAAAAACCCUCCAAAACCCCCCAUUUUCCCUCACUUUCCUCCACACCAAUCUAAUCUAACCAACCAACCCCCAAAAUUUUCUCGCUCAUUUUCCCCCCCCCCAAAAAAAAAAAAAAAAAAAAAAUCAAUAAUGUUGUCCCUCUCCUCAUCCCCAUUGAUCCCAACUCUUCUCCUCUUACUCUCUCUCCCUCUCCUCUUCCUCCUCAUCCCCCACCUCCUCCCUCCUCGCCCCCACCCCAUUUCUCUCCCGGACGACCUCGACGACCUCUCCCUUUUCCGCAAAGCCGCCGCCGUCUCUCCGCCGCACCGAUCUCUCCCCUCCUCCAAGUCCCGCCUCGGCUCCACAAACCCUAAACCCAAAAUCGCCUUCCUCUUCCUCACCAAUUCCGAUCUUCACUUCGCUCCUCUCUGGGAAAUCUUCUUCGCCAAUGGAUCUACAAACCAAUUCAACAUCUAUGUCCACGCCGACCCAACUGUCAAGAUCAACCCUCCCGGUGGAGUUUUCUCCGCCGAUCGAUUUGUCCCGGCCAAGAAGACUGAACGCUCCUCCGCAACCCUAAUCUCCGCCGCUCGCCGCCUCAUCGCUAACGCCCUCAUCGACGACCCAUCCAACGCCUUCUUCGCUCUCCUCUCCCAACAUUGCAUACCUCUUCAUUCUUUCAAUUUCGUUUACAACACUCUUUUUCACCGCUCCAUCGCCGAGUUGGCUCAGUUGGGUACUCUGCAGUAUCGUAGUUUCAUCGAGAUUUUGACGACUAAGAAGAUUCUUUGGGCAAGGUACAAUGCUAGGGGCAAGAAUGUGAUGCUUCCUGAGGUCCCCUUUGAUCAAUUCCGAGUUGGGUCUCAGUUCUUUGUUCUUACUCGAAGGCACGCCGUCUUGGUGAUUCGAGAUCGAAGAUUGUGGAGGAAAUUUAGGUUGCCUUGUGUUUGGAUUCAGUCUUGUUACCCUGAAGAACAUUACUUUCCGACUUUGCUUUCAAUGGAGGACCCAGAAGGGUGUACUGGUUAUACAUUGACUAGGGUUAAUUGGACUGAUAGUAUCAAUGGCCACCCACAUACGUAUCGGUCUCAGGAGUUGUCGACCGAGCUUAUUUACAAUCUCCGGAAAUCCAAUUUCACGCAUUCUUACCUGUUUGCUAGGAAAUUCUCGCCGGAUUGUUUGAGCCCUUUGUUGAAUAUAUCCAAUUCUGUCAUUUUCCGGGACUAGGAUCUGCUUCUGCCAAAACAGCUCACCCCUCUCAUUUAUCUUCGACGUCUAUUAAGGACAAAGGUCAAGCCAAUUACACAACAAAAAGAUGAUGAAAUUUUUUGAAGCACUUGAAAUGGAAGUAUGUUGGAGAAUUCAAAUACCACGCGGGAAUUAGGUUUGAAGAGGAUGUAAAAUGCCCACAACCUAAGAACCCAAAGUUUCCAACUCAAGCAUGAGGUGAGAUUUCAAAGCUAGUAGUCAGAUGCAUUUUUAAGGUGUAUUUGGUGGUGUACCAAUGGUAGUGGUGGUAGUAGUAGUGGACGUGGGGUAAUGGUCCUUUGUUGUGUAUUUUGUACAUAUUGAUGGAUUGAAAAAAAAAAUGUUCACAUAAUGUCACUGAACAUUAUUGCCAUUUUCCCCUGGAGAAUGUUAAAAGUAGAGCAGUGGUAAGGCUCAUUGCUUUUUCACAUGAAGGCGGAUCUUGUUCUUCUUUUGAAAAUUUCAAGGUUUGAAUGCUUCAUCUUCAACCAACCUUCAUGAGAACUCUCUUGCUUUUUGUGGUUGUUUCUCUGGUAGUCAGUUCCUUUUGGAGUGCUCUCUUUUGUACCUUGUGGUUACCUUUUCACUAUGUUUUAUGUUUGUGACAUGUAUGUGUGUAUAUAUAUAUAACUAUUCUUAGUGCAUUUA